GGCCAGGCUGAGGACUUUGCCGGAUUAGCUGAGAGGCGGUGCAUGGCCGUCGUCAGUUCGUACUGUGAAGCAUCCUGUUAAGUCAGGCAACGAGCGAGACCCACGCCCACAGUUGCCAGCGUACUCUCUGGAGUGACGGGUACACUGUGGGGACCGCCGCUGCUAAAGCGGAGGAAGGAAUGGGCAACGGUAGGUCAGUAUGCCCCGAAUAUCCCGGGCUACACGCGAGCUACAAUGGUUGGUACAAUGGGUAUCUACCCCGAAAGGGGACGGGAAUCUCCUAAAACCAAUCUUAGUUCGGAUUGAGGGCUGCAACUCGCCCUCAUGAAGCUGGAAUCCGUAGUAAUCGCGUUUCAACAGAACGCGGUGAAUACGUCCCUGCUCCUU
rnacentral:rRNA from 1 species